rnacentral:rRNA from 1 species
CCAGCUAAGGUCCCUAAUUAAAUCUAAGUUCUUAAGGAAGUGCGAUUGCCGUGACAGCCAGGAUGUUGGCUUAGAAGCAGCCACCAUUUAAAGAGUGCGUAAUAGCUCACUGGUCGAGGAGUCGUGCGCCGAUAAUGAUCGGGAAUCAAGAUUUAAACCGAAGCUGCGGACUUCGUAAGAAGUGGUAGAGGAGCGUUCCUGUCAGCGUUGAAGCAGAACGGAUAACGUUCUGUGGAGCGGCAGGAAGUGAUUAUGCCGGCUUGAGUAACGAUAAAGCAGGUGAGAAUCCUGCUCGCCGAAAACCUAAGGUUUCCUGGGCAAGGUAAAUCCGCCCAGGGUUAGCCGGACCCUAAGGCGAGGCCGAAAGGCGUAGUCGAUGGACAACGGGUUAAUAUUCCCGUGCUCUGUCGGGUUAGAAGCGGCGUGACGGAUCUUGCAGUUCUGGCGGUUGACUAGUCGUGACCGUUGCUGAGAAGCUAAGGGCAUUUGAUCCCGAUGCAGGACGAACAGGUUCCCCGAAAUAGCGUCCGUGAAUCCCCGAUGGAUCCGUACUAAAACUGACACAGGUAGGUGUGGUGAAUAACCUCAGGCGCUCGAGAGAAUGGUAGUUAAGGAAUUAGGCAAAAUAACCCCGUAAGUUCGCGAUAAGGGGGCCCUCCCUCGCAAGAGAAGGGCGCAGAGAAGACGUGUUGACGACUGUUUAUCAAAAACACAGGACUGUGCAAACUCGCAAGAGGACGUAUACAGUCUGACGCCUGCUCGAUGCCGGAAUGUCAAGGAAGUAGGUUAUCCUUCGGGAGAAGCUUACGACUAAAGCACCGGUCAAUGGCGGCCGUAACUAUGACGGUCCUAAGGUAGCGAAAUUCCUUGUCGGGUAAGUUCCGACGCGCAUGAAUGGCGUAACGAUUGACACACUGUCUCAACUACCAACUCGGUGAAAUAGAAGACGCGGUGAAGAUACCGCGUACCCGCAGCAAGACGGAAAGACCCCGUGCACCUUUACUGUAGGCUGAUAUUGGCCAAGACCCUACAUUGCGUAGGAUAGGUGGGAGGCUUUGAAACUGGGAUUCUGGUCCCGGUGGAGCCGUCCUUGAAAUACCACCCUGUGUAUCGUUUUGACCUAACUCGGACCCAUGAAUCUGGGCCGAAGACAGUGUUUGCUGGGCAGUUUGACUGGGGCGGUCUCCUCCUAAAAAGUAACGGAGGAGUGCAAAGGUUGGCUCAGCAUGGUUGGAAACCAUGUGUCGAGUACAAGAGCAUAAGCCAGCUUUACUGCAAGACAUACAGGUCAAGCAGUCUCGAAAGAGGGCUCUAGUGAUCCGGUAGUCCCGUGUGGAAGGGCUAUCGCUCAACGGAUAAAAGGUACGCCGGGGAUAACAGGCUGAUCGCUCCCGAGCGUCCAUAGCGGCGGAGCGGUUUGGCACCUCGAUGUCGGCUCG